rnacentral:rRNA from 1 species
AUGCAGAGCCACACCACACGCGCUCCGGCGAGCCUGCUGCACCGCAGCACGGCUGCCGCAGGCAGCUCUGGCAGGCCUUCUCCGUCGCCUUCGUGGCUGCCGCCGCCUCGGCCCGAGCAGCAGACGGCACUGGUGGUGACCGUGGACUCGGACAUGGUGGUGAUCCUGGCGUCGCUGCUGUGCGUCCUCCUCUGCGUCCUCGGCCUGGCCCUCCUCUCCCGGCGCGCUUGCCGCCGCCGACCCUCCGACCACUAUCCUCCUCCCCCCAAGGGCCUCAAGAGGAAGGCCAUCGACGCGCUCCCCACCGUCUCCUUCUUCGCCGCGGCCGCUUUGUCGUCGUCGCUGGAGUGCGCGAUAUGCCUGGCGGAGUUCGCCGACGGGGAGGCCGUGCGCGUGCUCCCGGGAUGCGGCCACGGCUUCCACGCCGCCUGCGUCGACGCCUGGCUCCGGACACGCGCCACAUGCCCAUCCUGCCGGGCCGCCAUCGUUGCCACACCCAUGCAGAUGCAGGUACAGCCAGCUGCGGCGGCGCCCACCGUGGUAGUCGUUGUGGCAGGGAGUAGCAGGUGCGGGAGAUGUGGCGAGGUGACGGCGCCGGCCGGUGCACGCGCUACCGAUGCCGCGUUCUUGGCUUAG